rnacentral:rRNA from 1 species
AGUGAACGCUGGCGGUAGGCCUAACACAUGCAAGUCGAACGGCAGCACAGUAAGAGCUUGCUCUUACGGGUGGCGAGUGGCGGACGGGUGAGGAAUACAUCGGAAUCUACUUUUUCGUGGGGGAUAACGUAGGGAAACUUACGCUAAUACCGCAUACGACCUACGGGUGAAAGCAGGGGAUCUUCGGACCUUGCGCGAUUGAAUGAGCCGAUGUCGGAUUAGCUAGUUGGCGGGGUAAAGGCCCACCAAGGCGACGAUCCGUAGCUGGUCUGAGAGGAUGAUCAGCCACACUGGAACUGAGACACGGUCCAGACUCCUACGGGAGGCAGCAGUGGGGAAUAUUGGACAAUGGGCGCAAGCCUGAUCCAGCCAUGCCGCGUGGGUGAAGAAGGCCUUCGGGUUGUAAAGCCCUUUUGUUGGGAAAGAACAGCAGCAGGUUAAUACACCGAUGUUCUGACGGUACCCAAAGAAUAAGCACCGGCUAACUUCGUG